rnacentral:lncRNA from 1 species
GGGCCAAUGGGCGCCGUUCUGGGAUGGGCCCGCGCCAAUGGCGGCCGCCGUGGCACGGGCUGGAGGCGGGGCGGCAAGGUCCGCGGGCAGGAGGAGGGGAGAGGCCCAGGCCCCAGAGCCAGGCGCAGGCUGCCCGAGGUGACAGGACUCGAGGGCCCGGCGCGGGGACAGCGGCACGGGUGUGUCAGCCGAAAUCGGACUGCAAGACAUAGAGCGUUGACGCUGAAAUAAGAUUGCUUUUCACUGGCGGGGAAGCGAGCUGGACCGAUCAGCGGUUGCCUAUUCAGGUUCUGGACUCUGGUUUUUAUUAUUUAUGAAGAGGUGACCGAAAGCCUUGGGCACGGGGGAAAAAGCUGGAGGGUGACAAUUGAGGGAGAGUGCGCUAGUCUUCUGCUUUACUCCCCUUCGUAGGACUGUAGGAAGCGCGGCGCCGGCCCGCGGCGCUGCGCGGUGGGAGAGGCGGGGAAGGAGGUACGCGGCAGCCGCCGGCGCUCUUCUGGAGAGGUGGGGAUCGAAGACCGGCACGGGGCUGCGGAAGAAAGGCGGGCCUGGGGGAGGCUGGAGGGUGGACCCGGGGGGAGCAUAGCAAGAAGAGUCUGAGCACCAGAUCUUAAAAUCUUGUAAUCUGAAAGACACUCUGUGGCCUAUACCCAGUAACGGAUUUUUUAAAAGUUUGUCCUCUUCCACUUUUCCCUAGCGCCGAAUCCCAGAGCUUCCUCCCCCUCCCCAAGGUCACUAGUGCUUUCAUACUUGCCCUAGACCUGAUCUGAUCCACAGCUAAUCUUUUGCAGAAAACCUCAGAAAGGUGACUUCAUGUGUCUGCCCCCCUUAAAUGUAAAAUGCAGAACACUGGCACGGUACUGCUUUAAUCCAAAGGAAUAACUCUCCCAGUGGAAGAAUUUCUAUAACCUGGCAUUUGAAGCAGGAAGGCCCUUUGAGGAUAGAUUCUUACCAAGGACAUUCAAAUCACCUCAGGUCUGCAAUCGCUCGUCCUGAGAACCUAACAGACUGACCAAGUAGAAAAGAAAGUUUCAAGGAGUGGUGUAUCCUGGGGAUGAGACGUUGUUGGCUGACUGACAGUGUUGAGCCCUCCGUGAAAUAAUGCAAAUUGUCCAGUACACUGAGACAAGAAAGCUAAAAAAGCAGAAUCUAAGUUAUCAGGUCAUCUAAGAAAAAAUCCAAACCUUUGAAAUUUGGAUCACACUUGACACGUUUAGAAACACUGGGGAUGGCCAGGCGCGGUGGCCCAUGCCUGUAAUCUCGGCACUUUGGGAGGCCGAAGCCGGUGGAUCACUUGA